rnacentral:RNase_P_RNA from 1 species
UCGGUAUGCUGUUCUAUCGCUCUUUAGUAAUAUAAGGGGAGGAAAGUCCGGACAAUAUAGCGCGCUGCCCUGUGGAAAGCACAGAUAGGCGUAAGUUUAUGGAGCGCGUAACAGAAAAUAACCGCCUUGUUGUUAUGGCAAGGUAAGGGUGAAAAGGCGAGGUAAGAGCUUGCCGGAAUCGGUGGCGACAUUGAUUUUUGUACGCACCGGCAGGUUGCAAAGCCAUGUAAACCGAUGUUUGAGGAUUGCGCGUCCAAGUCGGAGGGUAGGCUGCACCAGAUAAAUGAUAGGACACGACAGAAUCCGGCUUACAGGCAUACCGUUUUA